AGAGUUUGAUCAUGGCUCAGAACGUACGCUGGCGGCACGCCUAACACAUGCAAGUCGAACGCAGUAGCAAUACUGAGUGGCAAACGGGUGAGUAUAAUGUGGGAAUCUGCCUUUUGGUUUGGAAUAACACGGGGAAACUUGUGCUAAUACCGAAUAAGCCCUUACGGGGAAAGUUUUAACGCCGAAAGAUGAGCCUGCACUUGAUUAGCUAGUUGGUAAGGUAAAAGCUUACCAAGGCAACGAUCAAUAGCUGUUCUUAGAGGAAGACCAGCCACAUUGGGACUGAGACACGGCCCAGACUCCUACGGGAGGCAGCAGUGGGGAAUCUUGCACAAUGGGGGAAACCCUGAUGCAGCGAUGCCGCGUGAGUGAAGAAGGCCCUUGGGUUGUAAAACUCUUUCGUCGGGGAAGAAAAUGACUGUACCCGAAUAAGAAGGUCCGGCUAACUUCGUGCCAGCAGCCGCGGUAAUACGAAGGGACCUAGCGUAGUUCGGAAUUACUGGGCUUAAAGAGCUCGUAGGUGGUUAAAAAAGUUGAUGGUGAAAUCCCAAGGCUCAACCUUGGAACUGCCAUCAAAACUUUUUAGCUAGAGUGUGAUAGAGGUAAGUGGAAUUUCUAGUGUAGAGGUGAAAUUCGUAGAUAUUAGAAAGAACACCAAUUGCGAAGGCAGCUUUCUGGAUCAUUACUGACACUGAGGAACGAAAGCAUGGGUAGCGAAGAGGAUUAGAUACCCUCGUAGUCCAUGCCGUAAACGAUGUGUGUUAGACGUUGGAAAUUUAUUUUCAGUGUCGCAGCGAAAGCGAUAAACACACCGCCUGGGGAGUACGACCGCAAGGUUAAAACUCAAAUGAAUUGACGGGGACCCGCACAAGUAGUGGAGCAUGUGGUUUAAUUCGAAGAUACGCGCAGAACCUUACCAACACUUGACAUGUUCGUCGCGACUUUAAGAGAUUAAAGUUUUCGGUUCGGCCGGACGAAACACAGGUGCUGCAUGGCUGUCGUCAGCUCGUGUCGUGAGAUGUUGGGUUAAGUCCCGCAACGAGCGCAACCCUCACUUUUAGUUGCCAUCAUUUAGUUGGGCACUCUGAAAGAACUGCCAGUGAUAAGCUGAAGGAAGGUGGGGAUGACGUCAAGUCCUCAUGGCCCUUACGUGUUGGGCUACACACGUGCUACAAUGGUAUUUACAAAAGGAAGCAAGACGGCGACGUUAAGCAAAUCCUUAAAAAAUACCUCAGUUCGGAUUGCACUCUGCAACUCGAGUGCAUGAAGCUGGAAUUACUAGUAAUCGUGGAUCAGCGUGCCACGGUGAAUGCGUUCCGCGGGUCUUGUACACACCGCCCGUAAUC
rnacentral:rRNA from 1 species